rnacentral:lncRNA from 1 species
AUCCACCUCACCCUCCUAUUCCUAUCCCUCAUCAAGUCACAUAACUGAAGUCAACCCUCAAUGUUCUUCAACUUACGGGGUGUAUUGUAUAUGGAAUUAGUGAAAGUUUUAAAGAAGUCUAUGAAAUUUUAAAGUUUAGGUGUAUUCAAUACAGACUUUUAAAAACCCAUCAAAGUCUGGGUGUAUUCAACUAGAUUUUAAAAAUGGAAAAAGACCAUUUGCACAAAAUAGAAAAAGUCAAACCUCAUUUCAAUGAUAAUCUUUUUUAUUAGCCCAUUUGAAUACAAGGUACUUAUUUUAAGCCCAAAUACAUAAAUAUUUAUUAAAAUAUAAUAAAAUGAUAUUUUAAAAGACUUUUUACCCUUAACCUUUAUUUAAAGAGAAAAAAAGAAAAAGAAGAAUGUAAGACUUUCCCGGAAGCACACCGGACACCAGCGCCGGUCGCCGGUCACCGGAUUCUGGUCGCCGAACACUGGUUGCCUGAUUCCUGUCACCGGAUACUGGCCGCCGGAUUCUGGUCACCGGUCGUCGGAAAGAUGGUGAUCGGAAAAUCGCCGGAGACGCCGGAGUCUCACUGGAUUUUUUUGAAAAAAAUGUCACCAGAACCCACCGGAUCUUGCCGGAAGCAUACCGGCAAAAAAUGAAGUUUACUACCUCUACUUUUACUGGGGGUAGUAAACUUGCAAAACAGUAGCUCCAAUGCCAUAAUUCACAUUGAAAAUGAGAAAAAUCAACUUAGAUGCGAAAAAAUAAAGUUUACUACCCCUAGUAAACUUUUACUGGGGGCAGUAAAAAAAACUUGCAAAACAGUAGCUCCAAUGCCAUAAUUCACAUUGAAAAAAGAGAAAAAAUCAACUUAGAUGCGAAAAAAUAAAGUUUACUACCCCUAGUAAACUUUUACUGGGGGCAGUAAAGUUGCAAAACAGUAGCUCCAAUGCCAUAAUUCACAUUGAAAAAGAGAAAAAUCAACUUAGAUGUGAAAAAAUGAAGUUUACUACCCUUACUUGCAAAACAGUAGGUCAAAUGCCAUAAUUCACAUUGAAAAGGAGAAAAAUCAACUUAGAUGCGAAAAAAUGAAGUUUACUACCACUAGUAAACUUUUACUGGGGGUAGUAAACUUGCAAAACAGUAGCUCUAAUGCCAUAAUUCACAUUAAAAAGGAGAAAAAAUCAACUUAGAUGCGAAAAA